rnacentral:rRNA from 1 species
CAGCCGCCGCGGUAAUACGAAGGGUGCAAGCGUUAAUCGGAAUUACUGGGCGUAAAGCGCGCGUAGGUGGUUUGGUAAGAUGGAUGUGAAAUCCCCGGGCUCAACCUGGGAACUGCAUCCAUAACUGCCUGACUAGAGUACGGUAGAGGGUGGUGGAAUUUCCUGUGUAGCGGUGAAAUGCGUAGAGAUCUGGAGGAAUACCGGUGGCGAAGGCGGCCCCCUGGACAAAGACUGACGCUCAGGUGCGAAAGCGUGGGGAGCAAACAGGAUUAGAUACCCGCGUAGUCCCUGUCUCUUAUAC